GAUGAAGAACGCAGCGAACUGCGAUAAGUAAUGUGAAUUGCAGAAUUCAGUGAAUCAUCGAGUCUUUGAACGCACAUUGCGCCCCCUGGCAUUCCGGGGGGCAUGCCUGUCCGAGCGUCAUUGCUGCCCUCAAGCACGGCUUGUGUGUUGGGCCUCCGUCCUCCUCCCGGGGGACGGGCCCGAAAGGCAGCGGCGGCACCGCGUCCGGUCCUCGAGCGUAUGGGGCUUCGUCACCCGCUCUUGUAGGCCCGGCCGGCGCUUGCCGACACAUCAAUCUUUUUUCCAGGUUGACCUCGGAUCAGGUAGGGAUACCCGCUGAACUUAAGCAUAUCAAUAAGCGGAGGA
rnacentral:misc_RNA from 1 species